GGGGGUAUAGCUCAGUUGGUAGAGCGCUUGAAUGGCAUUCAAGAGGUCAGGAGUUCGAAUCUCCUUACCUCCACCA
rnacentral:tRNA from 1 species